rnacentral:rRNA from 1 species
GGUUAAGCGACUAAGCGUACACGGUGGAUGCCCUGGCAGUCAGAGGCGAUGAAGGACGUGCUAAUCUGCGAUAAGCGUCGGUAAGGUGAUAUGAACCGUUAUAACCGGCGAUUUCCGAAUGGGGAAACCCAGUGUGAUUCGUCACACUAUCAUUAACUGAAUCCAUAGGUUAAUGAGGCGAACCGGGGGAACUGAAACAUCUAAGUACCCCGAGGAAAAGAAAUCAACCGAGAUUCCCCCAGUAGCGGCGAGCGAACGGGGAGCAGCCCAGAGCCUGAAUCAGUGUGUGUGUUAGUGGAAGCGUCUGGAAAGGCGCGCGAUACAGGGUGACAGCCCCGUACACAAAAAUGCACAUGCUGUGAGCUCGAUGAGUAGGGCGGGACACGUGGUAUCCUGUCUGAAUAUGGGGGGACCAUCCUCCAAGGCUAAAUACUCCUGACUGACCGAUAGUGAACCAGUACCGUGAGGGAAAGGCGAAAAGAACCCCGGCGAGGGGAGUGAAAAAGAACCUGAAACCGUGUACGUACAAGCAGUGGGAGCACGCUUAGGCGUGUGACUGCGUACCUUUUGUAUAAUGGGUCAGCGACUUAUAUUCUGUAGCAAGGUUAACCGAAUAGGGGAGCCGAAGGGAAACCGAGUCUUAACUGGGCGUUAAGUUGCAGGGUAUAGACCCGAAACCCGGUGAUCUAGCCAUGGGCAGGUUGAAGGUUGGGUAACACUAACUGGAGGACCGAACCGACUAAUGUUGAAAAAUUAGCGGAUGACUUGUGGCUGGGGGUGAAAGGCCAAUCAAACCGGGAGAUAGCUGGUUCUCCCCGAAAGCUAUUUAGGUAGCGCCUCGUGAAUUCAUCUCCGGGGGUAGAGCACUGUUUCGGCAAGGGGGUCAUCCCGACUUACCAACCCGAUGCAAACUGCGAAUACCGGAGAAUGUUAUCACGGGAGACACACGGCGGGUGCUAACGUCCGUCGUGAAGAGGGAAACAACCCAGACCGCCAGCUAAGGUCCCAAAGUCAUGGUUAAGUGGGAAACGAUGUGGGAAGGCCCAGACAGCCAGGAUGUUGGCUUAGAAGCAGCCAUCAUUUAAAGAAAGCGUAAUAGCUCACUGGUCGAGUCGGCCUGCGCGGAAGAUGUAACGGGGCUAAACCAUGCACCGAAGCUGCGGCAGCGACGCUUAUGCGUUGUUGGGUAGGGGAGCGUUCUGUAAGCCUGUGAAGGUGUACUGUGAGGUAUGCUGGAGGUAUCAGAAGUGCGAAUGCUGACAUAAGUAACGAUAAAGCGGGUGAAAAGCCCGCUCGCCGGAAGACCAAGGGUUCCUGUCCAACGUUAAUCGGGGCAGGGUGAGUCGACCCCUAAGGCGAGGCCGAAAGGCGUAGUCGAUGGGAAACAGGUUAAUAUUCCUGUACUUGGUGUUACUGCGAAGGGGGGACGGAGAAGGCUAUGUUGGCCGGGCGACGGUUGUCCCGGUUUAAGCGUGUAGGCUGGUUUUCCAGGCAAAUCCGGAAAAUCAAGGCUGAGGCGUGAUGACGAGGCACUACGGUGCUGAAGCAACAAAUGCCCUGCUUCCAGGAAAAGCCUCUAAGCAUCAGGUAACAUCAAAUCGUACCCCAAACCGACACAGGUGGUCAGGUAGAGAAUACCAAGGCGCUUGAGAGAACUCGGGUGAAGGAACUAGGCAAAAUGGUGCCGUAACUUCGGGAGAAGGCACGCUGAUAUGUAGGUGAAGUCCCUCGCGGAUGGAGCUGAAAUCAGUCGAAGAUACCAGCUGGCUGCAACUGUUUAUUAAAAACACAGCACUGUGCAAACACGAAAGUGGACGUAUACGGUGUGACGCCUGCCCGGUGCCGGAAGGUUAAUUGAUGGGGUCAGCGCAAGCGAAGCUCUUGAUCGAAGCCCCGGUAAACGGCGGCCGUAACUAUAACGGUCCUAAGGUAGCGAAAUUCCUUGUCGGGUAAGUUCCGACCUGCACGAAUGGCGUAAUGAUGGCCAGGCUGUCUCCACCCGAGACUCAGUGAAAUUGAACUCGCUGUGAAGAUGCAGUGUACCCGCGGCAAGACGGAAAGACCCCGUGAACCUUUACUAUAGCUUGACACUGAACAUUGAGCCUUGAUGUGUAGGAUAGGUGGGAGGCUUUGAAGUGUGGACGCCAGUCUGCAUGGAGCCGACCUUGAAAUACCACCCUUUAAUGUUUGAUGUUCUAACGUGGACCCGUGAUCCGGGUUGCGGACAGUGUCUGGUGGGUAGUUUGACUGGGGCGGUCUCCUCCUAAAGAGUAACGGAGGAGCACGAAGGUUGGCUAAUCCUGGUCGGACAUCAGGAGGUUAGUGCAAUGGCAUAAGCCAGCUUGACUGCGAGCGUGACGGCGCGAGCAGGUGCGAAAGCAGGUCAUAGUGAUCCGGUGGUUCUGAAUGGAAGGGCCAUCGCUCAACGGAUAAAAGGUACUCCGGGGAUAACAGGCUGAUACCGCCCAAGAGUUCAUAUCGACGGCGGUGUUUGGCACCUCGAUGUCGGCUCAUCACAUCCUGGGGCUGAAGUAGGUCCCAAGGGUAUGGCUGUUCGCCAUUUAAAGUGGUACGCGAGCUGGGUUUAGAACGUCGUGAGACAGUUCGGUCCCAUAUCUGCCGUGGGCGCUGGAGAACUGAGGGGGGCUGCUCCUAGUACGAGAGGACCGGAGUGGACGCAUCACUGGUGUUCGGGUUGUCAUGCCAAUGGCACUGCCCGGUAGCUAAAUGCGGAAGAGAUAAGUGCUGAAAGCAUCUAAGCACGAAACUUGCCCCGAGAUGAGUUCUCCCUGACUCCUUGAGAGUCCUGAAGGAACGUUGAAGACGACGACGUUGAUAGGCCGGGUGUGUAAGCGCAGCGAUGCGUUGAGCUAACCGGUACUAAUGAACCGUGAGGCUUAACCUU